rnacentral:rRNA from 1 species
GACGAACGCUGGCGGCGUGCUUAACACAUGCAAGUCGAACGGAAAGGCCCUGCUUUUGUGGGGUGCUCGAGUGGCGAACGGGUGAGUAACACGUGAGUAACCUGCCCUUGACUUUGGGAUAACUUCAGGAAACUGGGGCUAAUACCGGAUAGGAGCUCCUGCUGCAUGGUGGGGGUUGGAAAGUUUCGGCGGUUGGGGAUGGACUCGCGGCUUAUCAGCUGGUUGGUGGGGUAGUGGCUUACCAAGGCGUUGACGGGUAGCCGGCCUGAGAGGGUGACCGGCCACAUUGGGACUGAGAUACGGCCCAGACUCCUACGGGAGGCAGCAGUGGGGAAUAUUGCACAAUGGGCGGAAGCCUGAUGCAGCAACGCCGCGUGCGGGAUGACGGCCUUCGGGUUGUAAACCGCUUUCGCCUGUGACGAAGCGUGAGUGACGGUAAUGGGUAAAGAAGCACCGGCUAACUACGUG